CUAAGUUAGGAUCGCCUGAGUAUCUAUGGGCUAAUAAGAUAUCAUCAAUAAAUCUCAUUAAAGAUAAGAACUUCUCAAGUCAUUCAGAUGUUUUAGAUGGAUUAAAAGAAGGUCAAGCAAAGUAUGCUGUUUUUGAUCAAUACACAAUUGAAGCUUAUCGAGUUGUUAUGAUGCAAUUUAACAUAAAAGUUGCAAAAGUUUUUAAUACUGAUAAUUCUUAUUAUGGAGUGUCAUUGGGUGGAAAUUAUUCUCUACUUCAAUCUUGCAUGAAUGGUU
rnacentral:lncRNA from 1 species